CCCAGCCAUGCCAGAGAUAACAGCAGUUCUUUGGCAGCCACACUCUUCACUUUUGUGGAUUCAGUUAGCUUGCCCUUUGAUUUGUUUGAUUAUCGGCGAGUGUUUUGUUGCAAACAUCUUGUGCUCUGCUAUCACUGGAUCAGUCAGACCAUGUACAGGUCUGUAAACGGCCAAACUUAUUGCCUGGGAAGAGAAAGUCCAUGCUCCCGGUGGGAGCUGUGGCGGAUGGGAGCAUGCCAGGGGAGCAGGAAGGCUGAGCCAGGAAUACAGCUUGUGUGGCAUGGAUGUGGUAAGGGGAGGUGGGGAGUACAGGACGUUCAGAGUUCAAUUACCUUUUUGUCUUUAUUUUGAUGUUACCCAACAAAUCUUAAUUUACUCGUUGAUGUGCAAGCAGAGCUGUGCUAAGGAAAUGGGUUUGUUUUUAUGCUAUGCUUCAUGCUGCUUUAAGGUCGAUAAAAGCCAGUGAGGACAUCCACUCUCAGGCCAGUGCCAUUUCCCCAUAGCUUGGAGGACCCCAGCAGUAAUGGCAGGACACAUACAUCCACCCUGCGAGAUACAUACACUCACUUUAUACAGUAGAAAGUAGUAUAGGAGUGCUCUGGAGCAGAGCCCUGCGGCUUCAACAGUCCCAUAAUUAAUGCCUGUUGGCUGUAAGACCCUUCCCUGUUCAGCAGGACCUGAAGUCCGACUUCUGCAGCGAAUUGUGGUGAGCUCGCAUCGAAUGCGCCGCAUGAUCCCGGCCUGCGGUAACUCCGUGUCCUCGGACUUGGAGUGACUCUUCAUUGAAUCCAGCUGCGGCUGAAUUGGGCUGGAAGUGGCGGUACUCAGAUACCACAGUGAUGAGUGUGGUGUAACAAGGAGAUUUUGAUUUUUGAGUGAAAACUUCAGUAUAUUUGGAUAGGAAACCGUUCCAAUUCUGAUAAGCCACUUCCAAGAGCCAUGUAGCAUCUCUCCGAGAUACUGGGAGUCAAGGUCUGAGGGAGCCAUGUUUGAACUAGCAUGCUUGUGAUAUAUUAAUGAACAGCCAGCCACGAGGGUAGGUACACAACUGCAAUUAGCUGCCUUCUUUGCACAAGUGGUGGGGAGAUUAAUUUCUGCAUCUUUGGACAACUCAGAGCACCAUGAUUACUUUGCUUCUGGCAAUACUUGUGGUUCUAAAUAUGGCAGGCAUGACUUUGGAUGUGACAUAGUAAUUGUGGUCAGUGUGUGAUAGCCAGCUGUUGGCCUCGUUGUCAACCAAGCAAAGCAAAGCAAGUCCAGGUCAAAUGGUUUUGGCUUCCAAGGAUCACUUAACUGCUGCGGAAAGCAUUGUUAGCAUUGGGAGGCUGCUUGUGGUCCCUAAAGUCUCUCUGGUACUCAUUAUAAAGGAUAAUAAACAGCUGCUGUGUUUCGACACUGGGAUGAUGGCGUUCUGUGGUGGAUAAGAUGAUUCAUGUCUUGGGUUCUUUCGAGUGAAAGGAUCUUCACACUUGUCUCUUUGGCUGCGAAGGGAAUCCACCACCACGAGCCACGUGUUUAUUGUUCUCAUCACUGCAAUGCAAGAAAGACAUCGAGGCCCUCGAGCUUGUCCUGAGAAGGGCAACAAAGAUGUGCAGGGUCUGGAACACAAGUCUGAUGGGGAGCCACUGAGGGAACCAGGAGUGUUCAGUCUGGAGAAGGGGAGGCUUGGAGAAGACCUUAUUGCUCUCCUCAAUUCUUUGAAAGGAGGUUGGUGAGGUGCGGUGGGGGUCAGCCUCUUCUCACAGAUGACAGCAAUGGGACUGGAAGGAAUGGCCUCAGGUUUCACCAGGAGAGGUUCACUGGAGCAAUUGGGUCUUCCCAAUUGUCAGACUCAUCCCUUUGUGCCUGGCUUGCAAGAAGCCGCCCAAGGUGCAGUGUCACCCCCCUGUCCCACUGGAGGGAAACUUGCAGGUCUUUGCUUUUCAUCUGAGCUUUCCUGCACUUUUGCUGUAGGUGCUUUUUUUGCCUGUUCCCAUUAGGUGUCUCCCUUUUCCUCCUUUUGAACCAGCUCAUUCUGUGCAUGUUCUGAUGGAUGAUCACCCUUUACAGCCCAGAUCCAACCUGAGGCACCCAGUGCAGUGCUGGGGUCAGAAACCCCCUGCCGUGAUAUCCCCCUGUGUUAUAACUGUAUGACAAAAACAAAUGGCAGAGAUAGCAAGCUAUGCACAAAGGAACGCGCCCCUUCCCCAGAUCCUAAUGUGAUGUGAUGGCAAUGAUAUUCCUGAACCUAUUCAUGUGGGAAGAAAGCCCUUUUCAAGCACUUGUGCCAAUGGGAUAAAGAAUUCUGCCUGAGCCAGUAUCAAGUCCUGUUAAUGCUGCUUUGCUGGGAGUCUUUUUGACUGUCCCUUCUGCAGCUGAUUUCAGAAUCUACCUCUGCUUUUAUUCGUUGUGUAGCCCCUGUUCCAUUUCACAGAGCUGUCUAUAAUUAGUCAGGUGCUGUGCAUCUCUUGAUACUGGGCGUACAUUCCCACUAAUCCAGUAUAAUGCAGGUUGGGAAGGCAAUAGCAAGCACCGUCCAUGCUCUAUCAUUCAGUGGCAUGCGCCUAGAACAGAAAACCCCUUGCUCCUGGAUUUUGUAUGUCACUAAACCCUUUAAAGCUGAUUACGUUAUUUUAUUCUUAUUCACAUUCAAUGCUGAAGCCACCACUGCCACUCUUGCAGUGUAUACACCUAGGUCAUCUUAUUAUUUUGUAGAGAUGGGGAUGUAAGCUUGAGACUAAGACAGUAUUCUACGACUUGGGUCCUGGAGCAGGACUUUCUUUUUGUUUAUUUUUUGGUUCUGGGCAUGGGCUCCUGUAGCUGGCAGUGGUGUUAGUUCAGCUGUCCCACAAGCAGGGGGUUGUGCCAGAUGCAGCUGCAUCUAUAAUCUUUGGACUAGGCUGACAUGUAAAGAUCGUGUUGCAUCUGGUCUCUGCGGCUUGGGUAACUUACCAAAGGUUGCACAGCUGAGGCUGGGAAGCAAUCCAGCUCUCCUGCCUCUGAUCUCUGAGAUCCAACUUUUACAACUGCUUCCUCUACCACAUAGUGGCAUUGAUGAGGUAAGUCAUUAAUGUCAAGAGAGGUAACAUAGAUGUAGCCAGGUUGGCAAAAUGUGGAAUACAGGGUGGUUGGAAAACUGGACCGAUGUGCUCAAAAGGGAAUGCUAAUGAGUGGAAAUGGUCAGUGCUGAGUGGCAUUCUUUGGCUCUCAGUGCUGGAGUAGAUCAAUACCUUCAUCACUGUGCUGGGUAAUGGGAUGGCAAACAUCUCGGUGAUGUGUAGAUGAUAACCAACUGAGAGGGGCAGUGAGUGCUCUGAAGCUGUUACGCAGAGAGACAUGACAAGCUGAAGGAUCGUAAAAUGACUUGGAAGGGACCUUGAACAUCAUGUACUUCCAACCACCUCCUGUGGGCAGGGUUGCCCUGUCCAGCCUCAGCUUGAACACCCCCAAGUUGCAUCUGCAACUUCUUUGGGCAAAGAAAUGUGCCUACAGGAACAUCAGGAAGCUCAAAUAACCCACGUGUUCAUCCAGGGACACUGAGCUGCAGCACAUGGUGUAUAUAGCAUGAGGUUAAGAAAGCUGGGUUUGCUCAACUUAGACAACAGGGGUUAAAAGGAGAGUUGACUGUUGUGUCCAGCUGCCCAAAAAAGGGUUGCACAGGAAGAAGAACCAGACUUUCCUCAGGUGUUUGUAGCAAGCAGACAGGAGGCAAUAGUUACAACAUGCAGCAAGGGAAAUGAUGACUGAAUAUAAGGGAAAAAAAUCAUAACCAGUGGUUAACCACCAGCAUAAUUGCCCUGCCCAGAAAGGCUGUACAUUUUCUAUCUCUGAAGAUUUUCAAAGCACGAUUGAACAAAAGCCCUGGGCAACCUCGUUCAACUUUGAGGCUCUGAGCCUGAGUUCUGACCAAAUGACUUCCAGAGGUGCCAUUCAACCCCAUUAGUUCCUUGACUCUACAAUAGAUGGAUACCCUCAAUAUAAUAAUUCCUGCUGUAUUUUCCCAGUGAACUGAUCUGAAUCCUUCAUCAUUAUUGUUUCCACAGGCACACCUUUUGUAACCACCACAUGUAUCACAAAAGAGAGAAAAAAGCCAACACUGAAAGGAAAAAUUGAAGCAAAGUAGUAUGAGAAAGCUACACAGAACCUCCAGUGUUUCAGAGCUGCUGGUCCCUGCUAAUGUUGGCAUGAGAGGAAGCAUGAAGUGGAUUAAGUGCAAGGGCAAACAAUCUGAGGCAUUCUGCUAGCAGAGUCUCCUGUCAUCCUCCCGCUUUUCAAUAUGAUGGUGAUCCAAGCUGCACAGUCUUGGAUGUAGCUCCAAGCACUGAAUCACUUUAACUCCCCUCCCUCCCCUGCAAUGAUCACACAUAGAAAACAGACAUGUCUGAGAGAGACUUGAGCCAGUUUCUAAAAGGAAAGUCACAUUUCAACACAAUCUUCCAUGGAAAGGGAUUGUUUGGUUUUGUCGCUUAACAAACACCCCAAUGGCCUGAUGAGAAACACUUGUCAAGCCGAGUUUCCUUCCUCAAACUUGGGGUUAGGAAACUGUACGUGCUGUGAAAGGAUGUUUGUAGCCUUGAAAUGGGAUUAGUCACUCGAUACCCUUCCUCCUUCAUAGUCCCCACUCACAUUCAACACCAAAAGAGUGACAUACCUUGUCCCUGUUGUACCUUCACAAGGUAAUUUUAAUGUGGUGCAAAACUUCCUAUACUCGAAUAUUAAGGCUGCAAAGUGAAAUUCUCUCAGUAAUCUCUUACUAGUGUAAAUCUGAAGUCGUGACAAGCUACUGCCUAAUUGGUGUUAUCUUCUGCAUACAUGGGUAAUGUACCCUGCUUGAUAUUGAUCUGGUAACACAGCAAAUGGGUGUUUGGUUGAACACUUUCUGUGUACAUCUGCGUUGGUACUUAAUACCAUGCCAGUGCACGGGACCAGGUCACUUGUACAGUUCUGCACUGGACAGAUUUGGCUCUUUACAUUUCACAGACACUGUCUGUUAGUACAGUCAGUCAGGAGAUCUGAAGUGAGAGCUUAGUGGUAUGAGUACAACAAAAGAAAGCUCAAAUUUACUAGUCUAGAUGGAUUUCUGUGUAAAUAUAUAUCUGUUCUUUGCACCUAGCUUUACUCAUACCUGGACCAUAGUCUUCAUCCUUGACAGGACAAGAGGGUAUUGAGCCAGGGGAGGUUCACAUUGAAUAUUAGGAAAAACUUAUCAGAAAGAGUGGUGAUGCAUGGGCAGGGAGAUGGGGGAGUUGUCAUCCAUGGAAGUGUUUGAGAAUGGAUAGAGGUGGCACUGAGUGAUGUGGUCUAGAGUAGUCACAGGCAUGGGCUGAUGAUUGGACUAGAUGAUCUUAGUGGUCUUUCCAACCUUAAUGAUUCUAUACUUCUAUGAUCCUCAACUUUGAUCAUGCUUUCUCUGACUUGGACUUUCUUACCAACCUGCAUUUGCUCUGCCUGCUUCCAUCCCAGGGUGCAUCUUUGCCUUUACAUUCUGUAUCAGUCCUGCUUUUCUUUAGCUCCAUGGCUUUACCUCAUCUUGUCUCUAGGAUGUACAGUGUAGUUUAUAUCACCUCUUUGACUUGCAAACUCUCCCUAUAUUCCUCUGCCACAGUUAAUUCCUGUACUGUCUGACUCCAUUUUGCCUUAAUUUUCAUCACCAAUUUCAGUCUGGCUGAAUCAGUAGGCAGACCUGUGUUUCUUCAGCAGAGCUGUUUUCCUCAGGCUGUGAGUAAGAGAAACACUUCAGUAUGUCCUUAAAUAUAUCCCCCUAGGCAUAAUUAAGCACAUUCCCUUGUUGCCCUGAGCAAGGAGGAUGCCUGUUGUGGAGGGAGGCAGGAUUGCCGAGUGAGUUGAUUUGGACUUCUGAGCAAUGUGGAAUAGUUCAGAGAGUCUCGGCAGGACUGAUGCUAAAUCACAGAUGAAAACAGCAAUCUGUCAGCAGCGUGUUUCCUGUUUUUGUUGUGGCCCAGAUGAUUUUGCUGCUGAAAGGCCAAAAGUGACACAUACGAAGAAAAGACAAAUAGCAAUAAUUACAGGUUGGGGGAACUAUUUAGUAUGCUAUAAUUAUAAAGUGCCAGAAAUUAAAAGAUAGAGUGAUCUUAGGGAUAAUCUACCCUAGAAAUUGGUGAUAUGGCAUAAUCUGGGGAAAGCAGAUUUGGAACCAGCUAAACUAAACAGCCGUGCCUUAGGCUGGAAUUAGCACUUUGCCCUCACUUGCACUUAGUAUCAUAUUUAGUCCAAGAUCUGCAUCAAAACUGUUUCAGCUGUGUUGGCCAGAUUUUGAGACCUCAGUAAUCAUUGUUUCCUUGCACCUCUGGUGUUGGGCUGUUGUUAAGUUUGUUUUUCUUUGCUCUUGCACAAUUUGACCUUUUACCUCCCACAACCAGCCUUAAAAUCAUUUUUAAAGCAAUAUUUCUCAGGUUUUAGAGAUGUUUGAGAAGAUUUUCCUAACUAGAGUGAGCCUGCUUGAAGCUUCUUUGGGUCAUAGUCCACCGUGCCUGGGGAGCAGCUUCAGGCACUGAAAGAUAGCAGCUCUGCGGUAGCGUGAGCUCUUUCAAGUGGUAAUUGCCCUUCUUACCUAGAGGAAUUGAACUGCUGCAGUCUGCCGCCGUGCUCCUUUUAAAACCCUUGAUAUUCACAAUCUGAUGUUUUGCUCCAGUGUCCUCAUUGCACAUGUGCCAAACAAUCCCAGUUUAACUGUUGUCUCCAGGAGGAGCGCUCACACGCUUCAACUUACAGAAUCAUCACAGAAUUGCCUGAGUUGGAAGGGACCCUUACAUGUUGUCUGGAGCAAUACCCCUGCAAGUGAACAAAGACGCCUACAGCUCCAUCAGUGCUCAGAGCCACAUCCAGCCUGACCUUGACUCUCCAGACAUGGGGCAUUUGGGCAACCUGUUCCAGUACCUCACCAUCCUUAUUGUAAAAAACUUCUUCCUUAUAUCCAAUCUAAAUCUCCCCUCUUCUAGUUUGAAGCCAUUUCCUCUUAUCACAACAGACCCUGCUAGAUGUGUUCUUACAUGCAUUGCUUUGACCAGUCUUUACCUUGGGUUACCACCAAGAAAACAGAUGGAAAUCUAUUCAGGGAGUAUAAAAAAAUAAUGAAGCACAUGUCUACCAGUCUUUAAUUACAUAAACAGUCUUAUAAUAAGCAUCCUUAGCAAAAUCUAUGACUCAGCUGUGCCACUUUUCCUGUGGCACAUCUAUGCCUGGAUCCAUCCUGCCUAUCUGAAUCUCUGAAGCCAGGGCAGAAGGGGAUAGCAUCAGGUCUUAAAGACAAAGAGCAGUCUACGUGGUUAUCAGCAAAACCCUUGCACCCCAAACUUCCAUUGACUCGAGCUGGUUGUUCAGGGUCCCAGUCCUGCUGCAGCUCCUGAACCAGAGCCAUGGGCUCAAGCGGGGCCGCGGGUGACUGCAGCCGUCUGUCCUCUGUGCCCAGAGCUGUGAGAUCAGAGUCUGAGCAUCCACAUUCUCCACGCAGAUGAUUUUGCACUACACGUACAAACCAGAUUAUUGUCAGCGAAGAAUCAUGUAUCACGCAGCAAGUUAAAAAGGCAAAACGCUUGCCCUUCAGGAAUUUCUAGCUAUGGAAAAUAACAGGCAGCAUGUAUCCACAACAAAAUACAAUGAGAAAAUACCUCAAGAGUUAAAUCUGAUGCAUAUGAAAUGCUGCAUGAACUAUAGCUCAAGAUAUUCACUACGUUCGUUGAAAUCUCUCUCACGCAGCAUUUUAAGACAUUAACAUUUCUCAAGUAAUCUUUCCCCAGCUAUUCUGCAUUAAUAGCUAUUUACAUAAUAAGUUAUUGUAAAAGAUAUAUGCAUAACAUAUUUCUUUGAAGAUAUGCUCUGGGUAACUUGGAAUAAAUCCUACCUCAUUUAAUACAGAUUUUCUGAGACAUGUAGAAAAAUGAGAGUCCCGAAAAACCUGGAAAGAACUCAAAUCUGAUGAAAAACAAAAAUAUUUUAUAUGAUUAAAUUUUCCGAGCAGCUUUAAUAAAUACACCGAUAUUUAAAACAGAGCAAAACAGCGCGGUGAGGUAUGUCAGCAUUUCUGAGGGCUUCGAGUCGCUCUGCAGAACCUGAAUAGUGCAGCCUUACAGCCAGCUGUUAGACCUCCUUGUUCUUCUAAAAUGGCCGUGGAGUAAUUGAGUAGGUAAAGCACGUUAGCAGGUGCUGCGUAAAGGUGUUAGAACACCUGAAUUCUUUUGGCUGUAAGUAAAAUAAAGCAGAGAUCAAUACAGCCAGUAAGUCGUUUAAAAAUGAAGCUAAAGCUUACACUUCGUUUAACCAAAUCAGUGGGUUUUUAAAUUUUAUUUUUAAUAGCAGGGUAGUAAAAAGCUGGAAAGAAUCACAUUUUUACCCCUUAAGACUGAGGUUCCUUCAUGACUGUUUUGCCUUUGGAGUCCACUCCUCACUUAAGCUAUUUAAAAUGCCCAGUUUUUCAGCCCUGAUUUUUCAGGCAUUUCAGCAAUCGAGCAUAUUGUCUGUGUAUCAAAUUCAGUUCUUUGACUGCGUGUUUUUAGCAUGCAGAACUCGAGGUUGUAAAAAUAUUUCAUUAUCUGUUUCACAGCACUCUUUUGAGAGCGUCACUCCUGCCCUCUUAAUUGAAAAAGAGUUAAAAUGGGGAAAUUAAAGCAGAAAAGAAAGUGAAAUGUGCCUGUUCAGCCACAGCACAGCCCGUCUGUUAGAGCAGAUCUGAACACUCAUCUCACUGUUCAUUUACAUCAGAUUGCUUUAACUUCUGUCCGAGUCCUUUCUGAAGCUGUUGGAAUUCGUUUGUAAGAGUAGACCUAAGGAGCAGUUUAUACCACUAUCUCGACAGGCGGCUCAAUCAGCGUAAUUCAUUGAAAACAUCUAUUUAAAACUCAUCUCAGAGGCAGAACAUUCAAUGCUUUCCUUCUUCAAACAAAUAAGUAUCAUUUAUUUGUUAAGGAAAUGGGAAAUUGGAACUUUUUCUUUUUGCAUUAAAUUUUCUAGAAAACAGAUGUACUUUUCAUCUUAGUAGCUUUCUUUGCAUUGAUGUGAUAAUGCACGAUGCUUUCCAAGCCACAAACGAGACUUUUUAAGGCAUCUGUAAACAUUACUUUUAUAUUGUAAAGUUCAGGUUUUUAAUAAAUAAAUGUUUACCAAGUUGCAGCAAGGGAAGCAGUAUCCAGGGUAAUAGAGAUUUAGCAGGGCUUUAAAUCAUAGGCUCCAAUUCUGCAAAUCACUUUAAAAUGUAGUUCAGUAGAUGAACAAUUCCUUUAAACUAAACAUAUAAUGAACUCCGUCACCGCAAUGAAAUUCGGGCGUCUAAAUAAGGAAUCUUUCCAGUGAUUAAUAAACACAGCACUCAUUUUCUGAGACCUGCUUUCCCACGUGCUUCAAAUUUAGGUCCUGGACAGGAGUGCAGGUUGUCUGAACUUCACGGGUAGAUUUUUCCUGAUGAUUUCACUGCUCAGGAAGCUCCAUUUGCAGUUCUCAGUCAGGUGGAUCUUCUCAUCACCUUGUAACACGAAGAAGGGCUUCUCAGUCUCUGAGAGCAUGGCAUGAUCCCUAAACUUUCUGCACAUGGGUCGCCUGCAGGGAUGCAAUUUGGCCAGAUGUUGAAGGUUGCUCGCCACCAAAGUAUGAGGGGCUGGCAGGGAGGUGCAGGAAGGAUUUUCCUAAAAGAAAAGCAGAAGGCUGCUGAAAGGGGUAUUAUGUAUUGAUGCGAAAGGAAAACGUUGACUGGAAAAUUCUGACUGACUUAGAGAACAGUUUUUUUUCAUAGGAAAUGCUCAAACAUUUUGCGGACAGGAAUCCUAUGAAGGAGUUGUUGCAUUGUCCUUUCAAUAACAGUGACGUGGCAGGGGUGGGUUGAUGGUUGGACUAUCUGAUCUUAGCGGUCUUUCCAACCUUCAUGAUUCUAUGAACAGCAAAUCUAAGGUACAGAAGACUUCACUUUCUUUCUUUUCCUCCCAGCCAGUGGUGAAAAGGGUCCUCAUUUCUGGUGUUUGCAUUGCUUCUUCUUUUCAUGUAAAGCUAGAAACGUUUUUACAUCUUUUAAUAAAUAGAUACUUGCAAUGUUUUAAAAUAUAUUAGAGAGGAAAAAGGGAGCAGAAUGUGUGAGUCUGAGUGUGUCAUUUCAGUGAGAACAUCUUAAUCUUUUUGGUUCACAUGUGAAACUAGUGGAAAUGUUAAUUAAAAGAUAAAAAGUGAGGGCAAAAGGAAAAUAAUGAAGAUUUUAAUGCUUAAGAGAGUGGACAUUUUCAGGAAUGCAUGGGCAACUGGAUGGGUGGAGGAAGAGGAGGCUGUGUGGGGCAAGAGACUCUCCUUGUGCCCACUUGGUUCUAACAGGUUUGCAGGUUUGCUGUGUUUGCAGGUCAUUAUUCUGGAAGCUUGGCCUGUUUUUGGUGGAAGUUUUAAGCAGAUAAGGGCUGCUUAGAACUUUUCAUUUUAAUAGGCCGCUAUUCAGCAGAGAAUGGAAAUGCUGAGUUUUCCAAACAGUGAGAUACAAUGACAGAAACUGCACAGCAGCAUUGGAGAAGAAAUGCACGCAUUUCAGGCUGAUAAGCAUCGGGGUACAAACUGAGUAUGAAGAUAAUUUAUAUUUGUUUUUCUUUGUCUGUUAUGAACUUUGAUGAUUUUCAUCCUCAUUUAAUAGCACAAUAAAUCAUUUUUAUGAA